CUUGGUCAUAGCAUCCAUAGAUGAAGAAAAGGUUUUCAUCUCUUACUAUAUCUUAUAAAUCCUUCGUUCUUGGUCUUUGAUUUUGGCGUCUCUCUUCAUCGGAGAUUAGAAGAGAAACCACAUCAAGAAAAUAAAUAAGAGAUAAUGUCUGAUGAGCAUUCUGUGAAAGAGAAACGAAAACGAUGACUUGAUGAGGGUGAAGUUGGAGAGAGAAUAAAAAGAAAGUUGCUUCCUUUCAGUUUUGUUUUUCUAAUUCACUCAUUUAUUCAUUUUUCUAUGUGUCACAAAGUAUUAAAGUGUUC